UAAAUUCAUUAGAUGAGCAAACGGGAAGUAAAGUGAAUGUUUCACUAGGUCUCGGACCCAGUUGUCAUAAAGUAUUUACUAAAGGUUACAAUGGCCAGACGAGUUAAUAUUGCUGUUGUAAUUAUAUGUGUUCAAAUCAUGCAUGUGUAUUCAGCAUGUGAUGUUGGAUGGUUUGGCCAAGACUGUAAGCUCCAGUGCCACUGUACAAACAACACUUGUACAGACGACAGUACCUGC